AUUGAACGCUGGCGGAAUGCUUUACACAUGCAAGUCGAACGGCAGCACGGGGCAACCUGGUGGCGAGUGGCGAACGGGUGAGUAAUACAUCGGAACGUGCCCAAUCGUGGGGGAUAACGUAGCGAAAGUUACGCUAAUACCGCAUACGAUCUACGGAUGAAAGCGGGGGAUCGCAAGACCUCGCGCGAGUGGAGCGGCCGAUGUCAGAUUAGGUAGUUGGUGGGGUAAAGGCUCACCAAGCCAACGAUCUGUAGCUGGUCUGAGAGGACGACCAGCCACACUGGAACUGAGACACGGUCCAGACUCCUACGGGAGGCAGCAGUGGGGAAUUUUGCGCAAUGGGGGAAACCCUGACGCAGCCACGCCGCGUGAGUGAUGAAGGCCUUCGGGUUGUAAAGCUCUGUCGGGAGGGACGAAGGGGAACCCUGACGGUACCUCGCAAGAAGCACCGGCUAACUCUGUGCCAGCAGCCGCGGUAAU
rnacentral:rRNA from 1 species